rnacentral:lncRNA from 1 species
ACCCUGCCUCAGCAGCACCUUGCAUCUUAACCACUGAAACCUGUACUUAGUUCUCAGCAGGUUUUAAACAUCUGCUGACCUCUCUGAUUCCCCUAUGAGGCUAUGAGUUUCUACGAUUGUGCCUCAUUCAUCUUUUCACCCAUCACCACCUCACAAGAUCAGUGAUUAAUAAAUAGGGCUUUUAAAUAAAUGUUUAAAAUCACAAAUUUAGAGAGUACACAUGUAUGAAAUGUGACCAUAUUUAGGGACCAUAGAAUACACAGACAAAACAUUAAAACAAUGUUUCCAGGAUGGAAAUUAUCUGGUUCCACCCCUGGAUAUGAUCAACCUUCAUAGACUGUGCAUUAUACAUGUUGUUGCCACCUUGCUCUCCACUCUCCUGUCCCUUAUCUCAGUAGCCAUCUCUGCGACCUGCAAAGAUGAAAAGGGAAAGCAGGAGAUGGAAACUGGUCAGCAGCCUUCUGGUUUAUCAGCCACACUUACAAAGGUCAAAUGUGCAAAGCGUCAGAAGACAGUGGUUAGAGUGAGAUUCUACAUGCUCUCAAUGAAGAAUAAAGCAUGCAGGAAGAACCUUUCAAAAGGUUACAACCAGAGACCUGAAGGAAGCAAGGAAGAAAGCCACAUGGUUGUCAAAGAGAAGAGGAAAGGAGAUCACUAAGCUGGAUGACGUUUUCUGUUUCUUUGAAAACAGAGAAGAUGACAAGUUAGGGAGAGAUCAGAGGUCAUACUGUGAAGCACCUUUGGAUAAACGGCAGGGACUUUGGAUUUUCUUUUUGAAUAUAAGCAUAAUCCAUUGAAAGGUCUCAUGCAGGGAAGUGGCAAAACACUUUUAAAAUUUUUCAUCUUUUCUUUCUGAAGCAGAGUUCACUCUCCAUUUAUUUGUCUUCUUUGAUAUCUCUCAAUAGAAUGUUGCAGUUUUAGUAUUCUCCUAUUAAACAUUUGUUUAACUUUCUUGUUCUUCUAAAUAAUAAUUUAUUCUCCUUAUUUUCAUCAUUAGUGUCCCUGAAAUGCCAGAGUUUCAGACUAGGUCUACUACUCACCACACAAAAAGCCAAUCACUGAGACACAAGUAUUGACAAGUAAGAAGGCUUUAAUCAGGUGCUGCAGCCUAGUUGAUGAGAGAUUAGUCUCAAAUCCACCUCCCUGAUGGACUAAAAUCAGGGGAUUAUGUAGUAGAGAAGAAAUGUAACUACAUGUGAGGAAAUAGGAAUCAGGGAGGGAUAAGCAAGAGGAGUUGGUCAGAAAGACACGGGUGGUCAGUUAGGCCACCAUGAUGGGUGAG